rnacentral:rRNA from 1 species
AGUAGCGGCGAGCGAACGGGGAGCAGCCCAGAGCCUGAAUCAGUGUGUGUGUUAGUGGAAGCGUCUGGAAAGGCGCGCGAUACAGGGUGACAGCCCCGUACACAAAAAUGCACAUACUGUGAGCUCGAUGAGUAGGGCGGGACACGUGGUAUCCUGUCUGAAUAUGGGGGGACCAUCCUCCAAGGCUAAAUACUCCUGACUGACCGAUAGUGAACCAGUACCGUGAGGGAAAGGCGAAAAGAACCCCGGCGAGGGGAGUGAAAAAGAACCUGAAACCGUGUACGUACAAGCAGUGGGAGCCUCUUUAUGGGGUGACUGCGUACCUUUUGUAUAAUGGGUCAGCGACUUAUAUUCUGUAGCAAGGUUAACCGAAUAGGGGAGCCGAAGGGAAACCGAGUCUUAACUGGGCGUUAAGUUGCAGGGUAUAGACCCGAAACCCGGUGAUCUAGCCAUGGGCAGGUUGAAGGUUGGGUAACACUAACUGGAGGACCGAACCGACUAAUGUUGAAAAAUUAGCGGAUGACUUGUGGCUGGGGGUGAAAGGCCAAUCAAACCGGGAGAUAGCUGGUUCUCCCCGAAAGCUAUUUAGGUAGCGCCUCGUGAAUUCAUCUCCGGGGGUAGAGCACUGUUUCGGCAAGGGGGUCAUCCCGACUUACCAACCCGAUGCAAACUGCGAAUACCGGAGAAUGUUAUCACGGGAGACACACGGCGGGUGCUAACGUCCGUCGUGAAGAGGGAAACAACCCAGACCGCCAGCUAAGGUCCCAAAGUCAUGGUUAAGUGGGAAACGAUGUGGGAAGGCCCAGACAGCCAGGAUGUUGGCUUAGAAGCAGCCAUCAUUUAAAGAAAGCGUAAUAGCUCACUGGUCGAGUCGGCCUGCGCGGAAGAUGUAACGGGGCUAAACCAUG